GACGAACGCUGGCGGCGUGCCUAACACAUGCAAGUCGAGCGAUGAAGUUUCUUCGGAAAUGGAUUAGCGGCGAACGGGUGAGGAACACGUGAAGAAUCUGCCCUCCACUUUGGGAUAACACCGGGAAACCGGUGCUAAUACCGAAUAUUGAAACAUAAGUGGCAUCACUGAGUUUUGAAUGAAUUUCGGUGGAGGAGGACUUCGCGGCCUAUCAGCUAGUUGGUGAGGUAAUGGCUCACCAAGGCAACGACGGGUAGCCGGCCUGAGAGGGCGACCGGCCACACUGGGACUGAGACACGGCCCAGACUCCUACGGGAGGCAGCAGUGGGGAAUAUUGGGCAAUGGAGGAAACUCUGACCCAGCGACGCCGCGUGCGGGAUGAAGGCCUUCGGGUUGUAAACCGCUUUCAGUAGGGAAGAAGCGAAAGUGACGGUACCUACAAAAGAAGCACCGGCUAACUAUGUGCCAGCAGCCGCAGUAA
rnacentral:rRNA from 1 species